UUUUUUUUUCUUGCAAAUGCUUUGUAUUUAUUGUCUCAGCAAGAAUUCAAGACAUACAUGCAUGGGGCAUACAGCAAAACAUCUGGCUUGUAUCCAAAACAGACCUUAAGAAAAACAAACUCCUGUUGACAGAGUCAUAUAGCAGAUCCUUUGCAGAAGUAACAAAAGGAGUCCUAAGGAUUCAGUGCUCACUGGCACUGAUAGCUUGGAUCUGGGUCUUUUUCCUGAGUUCCCAGUGAAUGUCAGCACUCUUGACAAUGCUCAGAGAAACACAAAAACACAAAGAAGCAAAUAGUCUUUGCAGAUAUAGGCAGAAAAAUAUACUUCACUAACACUUAACUCAGAUAUCCCCAUGGUGAUGCAUUUAUGGCAAUACUUUUUUUUCCAUAAUAUUCAUGUGUGCAGCAGCCUGAAGAACAGGGCAGGCUCUAUGCAGCCUGCACCUCAUUUCCUACUGAAUUUAAAGCAGAGUACAUUGAGCAGAACACCUUUAUUUAAAUAUAUUUCAGCUACUAAUGUGAAUUCUAAUGUCGAAUUUUCCAGAGAGUCCCAGGCAGGCACGAUCAUUGUUCAGUGUCCUUGAUGAAGGCUCUGAGAUUCCACCAAGCCCAGGACAUGGAGCAGGAGCCCUCCUGCUGAACUCAGUGCUCUGCCUUUGAUGAACAGCUUUGCCAAGCUGCACGCGGUGCUAGCCUUGGAGCUGGUGUUUAGCCAAACAGAAACUCUUUGCAUUUACUUUUUAAUACCUGAAAAAACGACCUCUCUACAUGUCAGCAAAACACGCCACGUUGCAGUGCUAAGGUGAAAAACAACUAUUCUCGAAACAUUAUGCUCUCACUGAAAAGGUACAAGGUGGCUUAGAGGAGGGAACCAUGCACGUAGCUCAAGACAAUGAUAAAGCUCCCAGUAAUGCCACUGGGCCUCCAUGCGCUAAGCACGCUAAGUCAGUCAGCUUCUCCUUAGUGAAAUCAGUGACAAGUAACAGCCAUACGCAGUGGGUUGUGACAGAGUGAUCAGAGCUAUGCAAUGACAAUUUUGCAAAGGCCGAUUCAGGAGAGAUAACAAAAAAUUAUUUAUAAAUAUAUACAAAAAUUCUCUAAAAGGCAGGAAAAAAUCUAACUUGAACAGACCCAAAAUUCAGAAAGUGCAACUAUACAGCCCUAUACAAUGCAAAGGUACUUACAUACAAAGCUAGUUAAGAGAAGGAACUGACCAUUGAUGUCAGAAUCAGCUAGAAAACAUGACCAGCUUCAGCCAUAUUCUUGCUAGCUUGCACCCAUGAAAAAAUACUGUUUAGGAUUGUAUCCAUCUCGUGUGAAUUGACUAGUAGAGCUACUGUUUGCCUUGAUGGUGAUUAGCAU
rnacentral:lncRNA from 1 species